ensembl:snRNA U6 U6 spliceosomal RNA
GCACUUAGGAGGCAGCAGCACAUAUACUAAAAUUGGAACAAUACAGAGACUAGCAUGGCCCUGCACAAGGAUGACACACAAAUUCGUAAAGCAUUCCAUAUUAAA